AAAAUGUUGCGAAGGAGACUACUAUCUUGGUUGUUGGACACCCCGUAUCGCUUUUCAUCGCAACUUAUUUAGCUAGGACUAGUGGAUUUAGCAACAUUCGUGUCGGUGACUCUAUAGUGUAAUGAUGUUGCUCUAGGUUCUUACCACGAUGUUCACACUCUCUGCUCAUUUAGCAUUUAUCAUGUCAUUUCAAGGAUUGCUUGUGAGUCGAGAGGAUAAUUUUAACCAGUGGAACUGUUCUAUGGUACAGUAUUGAUAUCUGCUCAUGUUGCUUUAGUUAUUCCUGGUGCAACUUACUUGUGCACUUUCUGUUGUUGAAUUGAACUGUUUAUUUUAGCAAUGUUUAAAUAGUCUUAGUGGUAUUAUUUGGGGUUGAACUUCUGUAGGACUAGAAUAUAUGACAUAAAGCUUAGGGACAGAUCUUGCCAUAGUGCAUUUUGCCUAGAUGUUUAGAGACAACAUAGCAGAAUCUUUACAAGAGAAAAAAAAAAGAGAACUGAACUGAAAUUUGGUAAGGGGACUAGGGGUCCCAUGGAUGUCCAUCUCAUAAUUCACAUUAGUACCUUGUCUAUAUGAUGACCUGUACUUGCCAUAGAAUAGGGCCUCUUUUGAUCCGCAGGAUUCUGAAAACGUUGGAAUAGAAAAAACAUGGGAUUAAAAUGUCAUGCUCAUCUAAAUCCUACGAGAUUUUUGGUUGUUUGAUUGCAUCAUAGGAAAAACAAAGGAUUCUUUCAAAAAAGUUUGAGUGGAUGCUAGAAACCCUGUGGGAAGUACUCCCUCCGUAAAGAAAUAUAAGAGCGUUUAGAUUACUAAUUCUAAACGCUCUUAUAUUUCUUUACAGAGGGAGUAGUACAUAAAAAUCCUUAGGAAAUAUUCUUGUAGGAUUCAAUCCUAUGAAUCAAACAACCAACAUAGAAAAAAUUCAUAAGGAUUCUAAUCCUUCAAAAUUCGUAUGAAAACUCUUUGAAUCAAUGGAGCCCUAAUAUGGUCUGCAGAGGCACCAGCACAGCUGUGGAUUUCAUGUCAACAAUGGAUUAUCACUACUGGUUAUAUCUUCAAAUUGAACUUCCUCUCGGUAUUUAUUAGUCUGUUUAUGUCUGCUACUCCUUAGUCUGAACUUUUGACUAAUUCUCAUCACGUGGCAUGGUUCCAACUUCCACGCCAAGGCUUGGUUUCCAAGUAGCGUAGUUUUACCGAGGGAAGGAAGAAGAAUGUGAAGUAUCUCUAGGAAUAGACAGUGGUACUCGAUUAGCUAAUGUGCAAACAAGGCGAUGAGCAAAAUUUGGCCAUUCUGUUAUAUUUCCACAAUAGACUUGGCGCCAACAGGACAUGGCAAGCACGAAACAACACACACACACGCCUACCGUAAUUUCCUGAGAAUGUGCCGCGAUGAGGUGUGUAUGCUGUGUGCUGGCGCCUUGGUUGGUUGGUGUUUUUUUCAAGAUAGGCCUGGUUUUGAACUGAAAAGGAGGAGACCCCUGGUUUUUUUCUUGUAUAUCUCAUCGGCGUGGUGCCUUGAUGAUGGCGUUCGUAUUUUACUUGGCCAACCGGCCAUGCCGGCGAUGCGUGACGUAUGUUGCUGUCCGCACAAGCCAUCUAUCCUAUCUGCCUGCAAAAUCUUAAAAAGUCUCUUGAGAGUUGAGACCAGAACACACCUAAAAAGGUUAGGUUUAUGUCCUGUCUCGGACAUUGGAUUCUCUGUUUUCGCUUAGGUUUGUGCGGGAACUGAUCUGUUCUGCUCCUCAAAAUUCAGAUCGAGUUUCAUGUGGCUUCUGAUUUCCGUUUACCUUUGCUGCAUUACUGCGUGCGGUCAGUGUGGAGCUUGCUUGUCACUCACAGUAGAGACAACUCUGCUGCUGAGUUUUUUUUAUCAAUCCUCCUCAUCUACCGACUGCAUAAUGCAUGCCCUACCAGCGCCAUCAUAUGGUGUGCCGUACUACCUCGGAUUUUUAAAUGGGAGAGGGGCUGUUUUAUCUGCGUUUUUAAAACGAAAUACUUACAAAAGUCUGAGAGAGAGAGAGAGACCCAGACAAGGGCACUGGCUGGCCCUGUAGUUUAUUUAUCUAGGGCUUAUUUCAUCUUGGGUCAUCUCCGUCCCACAUGGGGGGUGUCCCCUCCUGCCUCCUGUUCCACAUUCUCGCCUUCAUGAUCGCCUCUGCCCCCGUGCUGCCUUCCAGCCACUUAAAAAUCCUCGUCCUCUGUACUGCUUGUACUAGUUUGUUGUUGUUGUUGAGGAGCGGCUCCUUCUUUUUCGCCGGAGGGCGGGAGCCAACAAAUCUGGGAUUUGAAAGCCUGGGAACCCCACGUUACUGGUGUGACAGCGGAGUGGAGUCGGUUUUCCACUUUCCCCUCGCGAGUAACCGAUCAUCUCGCACGUCAAGGCAUUUUGUAUAUUUUCCCUCAAAAAAGUACAAGGCAUCUCCAACGGCAACACGUAAAAAACCUCAUGCAUCCCUUCGUAGACAAGGGGGACCAGUCCGCAAACACUGAUUUGAAAGACAGUCAUCCAACGUUAGCCUUUUAAGUAAUAAAGCACCCUUUAUCGAAAAAAAUAAAUCCCAUGCUAGCUGCAUACAUUUCAGACCGCAUUUUAACUAACCGAAUAAAAUUCAUUCAAACUGACCGAUAUUCAUCAAAGUCCGGAUAGAAAAUAACACAAGUCAUCCAUACAGAGCAUGCAAAUUAAGUCUAGUAUAACAAGAUCUCAAAUUCGACUAGAUCCCAAAUGUACAACAAGUUUUUUAGGAACAAAUCAUGUCCUCCCAACAUACUUUCCCUUAAGCUUCAUCCAACAGUGUGUGCACGUAAAUGGCCGUCCCGCUGACCUGUGGUACAGCACGACGGCUCUUGCGGGCUAGAUAUAAUGUGUAGACCAAUAUUGAGUGAAUGAAUCAAUCAACACGUUUAGCAAAAGGAAGUAAAACUUACCGUCUCCUCCAUGCCCGCGUGUAAUGGCCACCUUGCCUCGAGCUGACUGAUCAAGUUGCAGUACUUGAUGACGCUGACCUGGAUAGCAUGCCAGCGAUACGACAACGACCUCACAUUGCGUAGUGGCAUGAUGUACACGUCGUAGGGCGCAAUGUGCUUUUCUGCGUGAAACUUUUCAUGCACUUGCUCCCAGUAGGGUGGCCCUCUGGUCCUGACUAUGAAAUCCACGGAUACGGCUAGCCACGCAUCGCACAACAACUCAUCCUCCAUGGUCGAGUAGCUCACCAUCCUUCGUACUCUAAAAAAUGACAUAACAUUUGAAAAUAAGCUCAAUGACAUUUGACCAAACACUUGUCGGGCGUGGUGUCUGCCAUGGAGAUCGUCGACAGGGGGCGGAGUGUACCUAGGUACAAACGACUCCAGAGCUGAAAGCUCCGUCGGAACGGCGAGCGAACGCGUCGGUGCUGCUUGCGGACGUCCGACAAUGCCUCUGUGGCGGCCGGAGACGAACAACAGUGGCGGCGGAGGUGGAGGGUGCGGAUGCAAAGUAAGGGGAGAAGGGGCGGAGUGGAAGAAAAUGGAACCGGGAGGGGGGAUUGGGUGGGCCGGGGUGUCAAAGUCCUACGUUUUGGGUGUUUGGACUCCCGCAAACCUGAGACGUCUCCAACGUAUCUAUAAUUUUUGAUCGUUCCAUGCUAUUAUAGUAUCAAUCUUGGAUGUUAUAUAUGCAAUUAUAUGCAAUAUUAUAUCAUUUUUGUGACUAAUUAUUGGAAAUAUGCUCUAGAGGCAAUAAUAUUUGUAUUACUCCCUCCAUCUCAAAAUAAGUGUCUUGACUCUAGUACAACUUUGUACUAAAGAUAGUAUAAAAUUAAGACACUUAUUUUGGGACGGAGGAAGUAUUAUAUUUCCAUAUUCAUAGUUAAGAGUUUAUAUUAUAUGCUAUAACUGCUAUGAUCCUAGAAUAUGCCAUUCAGUGGAAAACUCAUAUGCACGUGUGGAAUGAUAAUCGGUAAAUAAAAAGUCCAUAGUCAUGCCUCUAAGACUAGCUCAAGUGUUGUUGGUGAUCACGUUUUCCGGAUUUAGGAUAUCGUUAAGUGUAGCGAUAGUCCUAAAACAACAUUGAGAUUACGACGUCGGAAGAACAAUCAUAUUGAAUCGACCCAAUCUUGUUUGUUAUGAAUUGAGUUAAUAUCGUCUGCAUUCAAUUAUAAGAAUACGGAGUGUUAACGUGUGAUAUUGCUCCUUAGACCAUGAGAGUAUCAUGGUCACUUCCUACCGUACGGUGGGCUUUGGGGUUGCUCAAACGUCACCCGUAACACGGCGAUAAUAACGAGAACUUACAGGUUCAUAGGAAAGUUUCACAAGUGGCUAGAUAGCUCGAGAGUGGGAUUUGCUCCUUCGACAAUGGAGAGAUAUUCUUAGGGUCCUCUCGGUGUGACAACAUCCAUCAUCGUCUUACCAGAUACAGGUGGACUACAUCACGGGGAUGCCAGAACACGUCAAUGAGAAAGAAGAACAAAACAGGUAAUGGGGGCAACGGUAUAGUGAGCAUGGUGAUGACUCAGAAGGAUACUGAUGCACACCAGGUUUUGUAAAGUAUCGCGAAGCAAAGGGAACAUCACAUGAUAACCUAAGGUUCACUCGAAUAUCAUUCAUGUGCUCAUAGGUACCGAUACGGACGUCCACAACCCCGCUGCCGGUCAUAGAACGAAUGGGUUCCAUUCAUGUAUGUGAAUUACCGAACCUACAAGGUCACAAGCUUAAGGCAAUCAUGAUCUGCUAAGCGUUAGUAGGAUGGGAGUGAUUGGACUAUAUUUUUGGAAAUGUUUCAUUAAUAUUCGGAAUAGUUCCAAGAGGAUCCGAAAGCAUUUUGGGGUCAUCAGAAGGGUUCCGGUGAAUAUCAGGUAAUACUGGGUAUUACCGAUAUAUAAUAUAUAGGUGGAAAAUGUUUCCGGAAUGUUAAAUUAUAUAUAAAAUGGUUUGAAAGUAUUUAGAACAAUUUUAUAUUUCAUUUAAUAUCAAUGAGCCUAAAAAGGCCAAUAGGUGGAAAGCAACUUGGGCCACAAGGGCCCAAGUGGGGAGAGGCACCCCUCCCCUAAGGAAGGAGGCCAAAUAGGAGUAGGGAGGAGUCCAACUCCUCCUCCCCUUGGCUGGACGCCCCACGGAGUGCUUCCCUUCUUGGUGGCAGCCCUCCCUCUCCCCUAUAACCCAUAUAUAGUGGAGAUUUGGUGCCCAAUUGAACACAUAGUGUUUGGAGGCUCCUUUUUUUGAGAGUACGCAAUUGCAUACCAUAGUUUUAUAGAAGAGGUAGAAUUUCAAGUAUAAGAUGGCUACAACUCGCUUUGAACAACGAGUGUAGUAAAAACUCCCUACCAAGACUAGUCCGAAGACAACCACCAUCAACAUUGCAACUACAACACAAAAGUGCCUGUCCAACUGAGCAACAUCGCCGCGUCUUGACCGACGCCAAUCAUCUCCGAAGAUUAGCAGCUCCAACUGAACUUCCCUUGUCGACGCACCAUCUACCCUUGAUGCCUAAAGGAGGUGUGGCAAGUAUAUGGCGGACCAUGGUCGGUCCCGAGAAAGGCACUAUCUUGGACUAGUCGGCGACGGCAUACAUUGCACUCCCGAAGAUCAAACUUGGACAACGACGGACACCAAGGGAGCACCACACAAAGAACCUCUAGGCCGUAUCUCCAAAUGCAAUGUUCCCAUGUGAGAAACGACGUCGAGAACGCCGCCAUCAUGCCGAUCCAACUCUGGACCUAGGCUUUCGCCUGAAGACAACUACCAUCAUCCAGUGGGAGCGAGGGGAUGUCGACACACCUCGGCGAUGCCUCCAAGGAGGGGAACAACACCCACGGGUGCCGUCGCCACUGGCACCGACCAAAGACGGGCAAGAUUUUCAUCUGAAAUACUGUAGACCCAACCUCUCAAGUCUCAACCCACUGGACAUGGGGCACACUCUGUCCUUGUUGGAGUUCUUCGGAACCGCAGCCACACCUCAAGUUCGUAGCCGCAAUGUCAUGGCACACCCCCACUCGCACGGCUGAGAGGACGCAACCAAAUCCAACUCCCGCACAGCCUUUCAUAGCCUUGGGCUGAGCUCCAGCACCUGCACCUCCGCGCACUGCCCAACACCACUGUCGCAAGCUCUCCGAUUACAAGUGGGCAGUCGUGGCACAGCCGCCUCCGCAUCCCGCUAGGUCCAGAUCUGGCACGAGCCACCAUCUCCAAUCCUCUCGUGCCUGCGCCUCAAAGCUCCUCCCCGCACCUCCGUGUGUGAUACGUCUCCGGUGUAUUUAUAAUUUUUGAUUGUUUCAUGCCAAUAUUAUUCAACUUUUACAUACUUUUGGCAACUUUUUAUAUGAUUUAUUUGGACUAACUUACUUAUCCAGUGCCCAGUGCCAGUUCCUGUUUGUUGCCUAUUUUUGUAUCACAGAAAAUCAUAUCGAACGAAGUCCAAAGUGAUGAUACUCCACGGAGAAUUAUUUUGGAAUAUUUGUGAUUUUUGGGAGUUGGAAUCAACGUAAACGGAGGCCAACACGGACCACGAUACACCAGGGCACGCCCUAGGCCCCUGGCGCGUGGUGGUGGGUUGUGCUCACCUCGUACGUCGGUUGGAGCUGUACUUUGGGCGCAAGGAAGCUUAUAUCAGGAAAUAAACGUGUAAAAAGAUCAGCGCAAUCGGAGUUACGGAUCUCCGGGAAUACAAGAAACGGUUUUCGGCCAGAUCUGGGGAACGCGAAACCGAAGAGAACAAAGAGGGAGAUCCAAUCUCGCAGGGGCUCUCGCCCCUCCCAUGCCAUGGAAGCCAAGGACCGGAGGGGAAACCCUUCUCCCACCUAGGGAGAAGGCAAAGGAAUAAGAAGAAGGAGGGGGCUCUCCCCCCUCGCUUCCGGUGGCGCCGGAGUGCCGCCGGGGCAACGACCGGGACAGCGAUCUACAUCAACAAUCUUGCUACCGUCAACACCAACUCUCUCCCCUCUAUGCAGCGGUGUAACACCUCUUCUCCCCGCUGUAAUCUCUACUUAAACAUGGUGCUCAACUCCAUAUAUUAUUUCCCAAUGAUCUAUGGUUAUCCUAUGAUGUUUGAGUAGAUCCGUUUUGUCCUAUGGGUUAAUCGUGAUCUUGGUUGGUAUGAUUGUAUAUUUUAUUUUGGUGCUGUCCUACGGUGCCCUCCGUUCUCGUGCAAACAUGAGGGGCCCCCGCUGUAGGGUGUUGUAAUAUGUUCAUGGUUUUCUUAUUGUCAGUGUUGCGGGGGUGACAGCAGCCUAAACGCGGAUAAGUGGGUCAUGGCGUAUGGGAGUAAAGAGGACUUGAUACUUAAUGCUAUCGUUGGGUUUCACGACCUUAAUGAUCUUUAGUAGUUGCGUAUGCUUGCUAGAGUUCCAAUCAUAAGUGCAUAUGAUCCAAGUAUAGAAAGUAUGUUAGCUCAUGCCUCUCCCUCAUAUAAAAUUACAAGAAUGAUUACCGGUACUUGUUAUCAAUUGCCUAGGGAUAAAUAACUUUCUUGUUGACACAAACCCUUUUACUAAACACCUAAAUUUUAUUAUCUUGCAAAGUACUUCUAGCUAUAUUCUUGCAAAGUAGUUCUAGCAUCACACCUAAAAAAUAGUUUCAUACUUGUUUCCGGUAAAGCAAACGUCAAGUGUGCGUAGAGUUGUAUCGGUGGUUGAUAGAACUUGAGGGAAUAUUUUUUCUGCCUUUAGCUCCUCGUCGGGUUCGACACUCUUAUUUAUCGAAGAAGGUACAAACGAUCCCUUAUACUUGUGGGUUAUCAAGACCUUUUUCUGGCGACGUUGCCAGGGGGUUAUAGCGUGGGGUGAAUAUUCUCGUGUGUGCUUGUUUGCUUUAUCACUAAGUAGUUCUUAUUUCCUAUUCUAAGUUGUUCUCUAUCUUUAGUUAUGGAUACGGAACAUGAAACACCAAAAAAAAUUAGUUGUACUUUCUACUCAUGGAGAUGGGGAACCUCCUAAAACCCUCGAUGAUUGUUAUGUGAAAAAUAUUAUGCACUACUUUGAUAAUCCUGAGAAAAUCAAUGUGAAUACAUUAGGGAUUAUCGCUUGACUCAUAAAGGGAAAUUGUUAUGGAAUCAAAUUCAUAUGUUGCAUUGGUAUGCUAGGCAAUUAUGCUUGAGAUAUGAUUAUACUUGUUGCUCUAGGAUGAAUGCUCCACAUCUCCCCUUUUCAUGAAAAUUUAAUGAUAAUGAAACCUUGACUUCUUAUGUUAAUGGUAUAUAUGAUUAUUCUGAUGUGAAACGAAUAGAAAAAAUUGUUACUUUCAAGGGUGCUUAUGAAAUUGAAUCUUUGUUUUUAAAGUAUGAAGAUUUUGAUGAUUCAGUUUAUAGACUGAAAAUCUUGCUAUCCUUAAAUACUGCUAUGAUAAUUAUAAAUGCAAUUACGAUAUUGAUGUAUUUAUUGAGAAUAACUCUGUUGUCCAAGAAGAGACUAAUAUUUUGCAGGAGUUUAUGGAAGAAAAAUUGAUGAAACUGCGAGCUCAUUGGAUGAAAAAGAUGAUGAGGAGAGUGAAGAACAAAAGGAGGAAGAGCGGAUUAGCUACCCUUGCCCACCUUCUAAUGAGAGUAACUCUUCAAUCCCGUUGAUUCGUUUGAAAUAUCCCUUUUUGAUGAUGCUUGCUGUGAUUAUGGCGAAGAUGCCAAUAUGAAUUAUGCUAUUGGAGAUGAACUUGCUGUUAUUCCUUAUGUUAAACAUGAAAUUGUUGCUAUUGCACCCACACAUGAUAGUCCUAUUAUCUUUUUGAAUUCUCCAAACUACACUAUAUCGGAGAAGUUUGCUCUUAUUAAGGAUUAUAUUGAUGGGUUGCCUUUUACCAUUGCACAUGCUGAUUUUGAUGAAUAUAAUGUGCAUCUGCUUGCUUCUGCUACUUGCAAUUAUUAUGAGAGAGUAACUACAUCUCCACCUCUCUAUGUUUCAAACACGAUAAAAUUGCAAGAAACUACUUAUGCUAUGUAUUGGCCAUUACUUGAUGUGCAUGAAUUGUUCUUGUAUGACAUGCUGAUGCAUAGGAAGAGAGUUAGACUUCGUCAUUGCUUGAUAUAUGUUGCUUUGUGCUCACUACUAAAUGCCAAAUCAUUGUUAAUUAAAAUUGGCUUUGAUAUACCUUGGGAUCCGGGUGGAUCUAUUACUUGAGCACUUUAUGCCUAGCUUAAUGGCUUUAAAGAAAGCGCUGCCAGGGAGACAACCUGGAAGUUUUAGAGAGUCAUUUAUUUCUGUUGAGUGCUUUUAUAAAGUAUAAAAACAAAAAAAUAUAGAGGGGAACACAAAACUUUUCAAAAAUGAAAGUGAAAGUGAGAGAGACAAGCAUUGUUAAAGUGGGGGAGCUCCUUGAACUUUGUUCAUGCUCACGGAAACUUUGUGAAUCUUAAUUACAGAAACUUUUCAACAAAAAUAAUUACCCCCUUGUAGAAUUCCAUUGCACUAUAAAAAUAAUGUGCCAAGAUUUGCCUUUAGGAUGUUUGAAUUGCUUGUUGGUUUGUGCGGUGCAAAACAAAAACUUCGGCUGUAGUGCGCGGUUUUACAUUUUUACUGGAACGUCAAACGGUUCUGAAAUAUUUUGCACUGUCUUUAUGUACAAAUGUUUAUUUUUACUAAUUUUCUCAGAAUUUUUAGAGUUACAGAAGUAUGGUGUAUGUUCAAAUCUUUACAGACUGUCCUGUUUUCACAGAUUGCUGUUAUAGCUUCGUUAUUUGCGUAUGUUUGAAUUCUUGUUGAAGCCUCCUUGACUUGGGGCCAUAGAAUUAUGAUAGCAUACAGUGGGUAAUGUUUGUUUAUAAUUAUACAGUAAUGUUGCAGCUGUACAUGAUGGGAUUUCAUUGCCAUUUUCACUAACCCCGCCACUAAAAGUUUGUCUAAGUUUUGUGUGGAUGAAGUGUUCGAAGAUCGAGGAGGUGUUGAUAUGAGGAGAACGAGGAGAUGCAAGAGCUCAAGAUUGGGUAUUCCCAAGGCACAAGUAAAUAUUCAAGGAGACUCAAGCGUCUAAGCUUGGGGAUGCCCAGAAGGCAUCCCAUCUUUCUUCAACAAGUAUCGGUAUGUUUUCGGAUUCGUUUCGUUCAUGUGAUAUGUGCAAAUCUUGGGGCGUCUUUUGCAUUUAGUUUUUACUUUUCUUUUAUGCACCAUGCUGGUAUGAGAUAGUCCAUGGUUGAUUUAUAGAAUGCUCAUUGCACUUCACUUAUAUCUUUUGAGUAUGGCUUUAUAGAAUACUUCAUGUGCUUCACUUAUAUCAUUUGAAGUGUGGAUUGCCUGUUUCUCUUCACAUAGAAAACCGAUGUUCGUAGAAUGCUCUUUUGCUUCACUUACAUUUGUUAGAGCAUGAUAUUUUGUAGAAAGAAUUAAACUCUCAUGCUUCACUUAUAUCUAUUUAGAGAGUCAUCACGAAUUGGUCAAUUGCAUGGUUAGUCAUAAAAAUCCUACAUAAAACUUAUGGAUCACCGAAUAUGAUAUGCUUGAUUCCUUGCAAUAGUUUUGCGAUAUAGAGAUGAUAAAUAUGUGGGAAUUACUAGUAAAUGGUUGUGGUUAAGUAAGAAUAUUAGUGUUAAGGUUUUUGAUUCCCGAAGCAUGCACAUAUAGUCUCUCGUUAUGCUAUGAAAGUUGGAGCACAAUUUAUCCUUGAUUGUCUUCCUUAUGAGUGGUGUUCGGGGACAGGCGAUGGUCUUUUCCUACCAAUCUAUCCCCCUAGGGGCAUGCAUAGUAGUACUUUGCUUUGAGGGCUAAUAAACUUUUGCAAUAAGUAUGUGAGUUCUUUAUGACUAAUGUGAGUCCAUGGAUUAUACACACUCUUACCUUUCCGCAAUUUGCUAGCCUCUACGGUACCGUGCAUUGUCCUUUCUCACCUCGAGACAUGGUGCAAA
rnacentral:lncRNA from 1 species